ACACCUCAACUCUCGUGGUUUGCUACGAUGAGCUUGGACUUUGGGGGUUUUGCUGGCCUGUGGUCGGCUCCUCUCAAAUGAAUCAGCUUCCCAGUGUUUGGUGGAGUCGCAGGUGUGAUAACUAUCUACGCUUGUGGUUUUUCACCAGAUAACCUUCGGUGAUGGAGGUUCGCUGGGGCUCAUAAAGGUCUUUCCUCAGUGAAGACAGCUUUUGAAC
rnacentral:misc_RNA from 1 species